CGCGCCGCCAGCGGCUUUUUCCUUUCAUCUUCUCCCUUCACGAUACAGUAUCAAGGCCAUGGCUACCUUACAGUAACCUUCACCACCGCACCUUCCUUCCAUGGCGCCGCCGCUACAGACCACCCCGCGUCCAUCCGAGAGUACCAGAAGAUGCGUCUCGUCGUCCUCGUCAUCUCCGUCCAAGGAAUCGAGCCAAGACCCCGUAAAUCGAGCGCAAGGUCGCCGUUUCUCCUCCAUGGCCGCCAUGCUCCGGCGUCGAUUCCGGCCGCCCUCGUCCUCCUCCGGCCAAACCGACCACACCACCGGCUUCCUCAUGUUCAUCCGCACCCCCGACGCCAUCUCGCCCUUCUUGGUUCACCCGGAAUCUUCAUAUUGGUGUUUGUUCUGUGAGUUCCGCCAUGGCUUCCAGUUCUGAGCUCCGCCUCCCGUGGUUCAAUCUUAUACGGGCCCUUUCGUUGACACGAUCUGAGGAACAGCUCAGUGAUCCAACGCCUACUGGGCCUCAGCCCACUCCCUGCCAGCUUCUUCGUCGCCCGGAGCGCGGCAGGCCGCCACCUGCUGCUCAGCAUUUGCUUCUUCUCGGAUAGGAUCACGAAGUGUUGAAGUGAGAUAC